rnacentral:rRNA from 1 species
CCUACGGGAGGCUGCAGUGGGGAAUAUUGCACAAUGGGGGAAACCCUGAUGCAGCGACGCCGCGUGAGUGAAGAAGUAUUUCGGUAUGUAAAGCUCUAUCAGCAGGGAAGAGAAGGACGGUACCUGACUAAGAAGCCCCGGCGAACGACGUGCCAGCAGCCGCGGUAAUACGUCGGGGGCAAGCGUUAUCCGGAUUUACUGGGUGUAAAGGGAGCGGAGGUGGCAGGGCAAGUAAGAUGGGAAAACCCGGGGCUCAACCCCGGGAGUGCAUUUGAAACUGUCCAGCGGGAGUGCAGGAGAGGUAAGCGGACUUCCUAGUGUAGCGGUUAACUGCCUCGAUAUUAGGAGGCACACCAGUGGCGAAGGCGGCUUACUGGACUGUAACUGACACUGCGGCUCGAACGCGUGGGGAGCAAACAGGAUUAGAUACCCGAGUAGUC